AUUGAACGCUGGCGGCAUGCCUUACACAUGCAAGUCGAACGGUAACGGGCCUUCGGGUGCCGACGAGUGGCGAACGGGUGCGUAAUACAUCGGAACGUGCCCGAUCGUGGGGGAUAACGAGGCGAAAGCUUUGCUAAUACCGCAUACGAUCUACGGAUGAAAGCAGGGGACCGCAAGGCCUUGCGCGGACGGAGCGGCCGAUGGCAGAUUAGGUAGUUGGUGGGAUAAAAGCUUACCAAGCCGACGAUCUGUAGCUGGUCUGAGAGGAUGAUCAGCCACACUGGGACUGAGACACGGCCCAGACUCCUACGGGAGGCAGCAGUGGGGAAUUUUGGACAGUGGGCGCAAGCCUGAUCCAGCCAUGCCGCGUGCAGGAUGAAGGCCUUCGGGUUGUAAACUGCUUUUGUACGGAACGAAAAGCCUUCUUUUAAUACAGGAGGGUCAUGACGGUACCGUAAGAAUAAGCACCGGCUAACUACGUG
rnacentral:rRNA from 1 species